rnacentral:misc_RNA from 1 species
AAGUCGUAACAAGGUUUCCGUAGGUGAACCUGCGGAAGGAUCAUUAUUGAAUAAACUUGGUUAGGUUGCUGCUGGCUCUUAGGAGCAUGUGCACACCGACUCCAUCUUUAACCACCUGUGCACCUUGCGUAGAUCUGAAUGUUUCGAGGAAACUCGGUUUGAGAAUUGCUGUGCGCAAGCCAGCUUUUCUUGUAUUCAGGUCUAUGUUUUCACAUACCCCAUAUGAAUGUAUACGAAUGUUGCAAUUGGCCUUGUGCCUUUAAAAACAAAUACAACUUUCAACAACGGAUCUCUUGGCUCUC